GACGAACGCUGGCGGCGUGCUUAACACAUGCAAGUCGAACGAGACGAUUGAAAGCUUGCUUUCGAAAGUCGAGUGGCAAACGGGUGAGUAACGCGUAGACAACCUGCCUUUGAGAUGGGGACAACAGUUGGAAAGGACUGCUAAUACCGAAUGUUGUAUAUUUUCAACUUGGAAGAUAUAUUAAAGUUGGCCUCUUUUUAUAUGCAAUCGCUCAAAGAUGGUUCUGCGGCUGAUUAGCGGGUUGGUGGGGUAACGGCCUACCAAGGCGACGAUCAGUAGCCGGUCUGAGAGGAUGACCGGCCACAUUGGGACUGAGACACGGCCCAGACUCCUACGGGAGGCAGCAGUGGGGAAUCUUCCACAAUGGACGAAAGUCUGAUGGAGCAACGCCGCGUGAGUGAAGAAGGGUUUCGGCUCGUAAAGCUCUGUUGUCGGGGACGAAUGUGCAGUAUUUAAAUAAAGUACUGUAAUGACGGUACCUGACGAGGAAGCCACGGCUAACUACGUGCCAGCCGCCGCCGUAA
rnacentral:rRNA from 1 species